rnacentral:lncRNA from 1 species
GCCUGCUGUAAUCCUCCUCAUGUGUAAGGUGUAUAAGAAUGUGUGUUGUGUCAAUCAGUCCCACCUCGAAACAACCAUGGAACCCAAACUUAGAAAAAAUCUCACGUACCUUCCUCAUGGUUGGCUUGCGAUGUGGAAAUUUCCCCACAAGUGUAUACUUGUAAGGAUCAGCGAGUGUAGCCUCCUCGGACUCAGUCAAAACUAUUGCCGGCUCACCCAUAUGUAUAAAGGGUUCUUUAGCAGCAAACCCAGCAGUGGAAGAGUCAUCUAUAUCCCGUAUAACCGAUGCAAACGACUUUCGUGAACUCCGUUCAGCUUGAGACAGGCCCGGACGGCCAGAAACUGCAGUAGCAUAGGUCUUUCGGCCCUGAUUGAGCACUGUCUGGGCCUCAUGUGGAAAAACCGAUGAUGGAAUUGGGUCCGUAACAAAAUUCCCCACAUUCUGGUGAAGUGUCACCGGCGCGUGACCACCACGCGCCGGCCGUUGACCGGCGGCGAUUUUCCAACGGUGUCAGAAAAUUAUGAUUUUUCACAGGCAGAUGCGGAAUUUGAUGCUGAUCAUCACGGUAUGUUCCGU